AUUUAAAGCAAUGAGAAUGAAUUAGGUGGGUCAAUAAUAGCUUAUGGAGUAGCCAAAAGGCGGCCAUAGUGUGGAAAUAAGGUGGCUAGUGUAAUGGGAUUAAGAGUGGGUGGUUAGGCUUUACUAGGUUUUGGUUAUUGGAUUUGGAUAGGCUUGAAUACGUGCUUUGGCUUUAUAAGCUGAUUUGAAAUAGAUUCGUGUUGCCAAUGUGUUUGGGUAGUUGCACUUGGCUAGUUAUGUUGAAGUGGGGUGUAUUUAAGCAUUUGAGUUGGAUUUUGGAGUAGUUUUAAUUAGGUUUUAUUUGGAGUCAUGGAUUGGGUUUUUAGUGUAGAUUGAAGGUUGUGUCACUAUGGUUUUGGGGUAGGAUGUUGGCAAUGGUACUUGAUUAAUUGAAAAAGGUUGUUGAUUAGGUUUGAUUUAUGGGUUGUGAAUUUGGGCUUUU
rnacentral:lncRNA from 1 species